GCCUGGGUCGCUCAGUUGGUUGAGCAUCCGACUCUUGAUUUCAGCUCAGUUCAUGAUCUCAUGGAUUGUGGGUUCAAGUCCCACAUCAGGCU
rnacentral:tRNA from 1 species